CAGUAGCCACGGUAAUACGUAGGUGGCAAGCGUUGUCCGGAAUUAUUGGGCGUAAAGGGCUCGCAGGCGGUUUCUUAAGUCUGAUGUGAAAGCCCCCGGCUCAACCGGGGAGGGUCAUUGGAAACUGGGAAACUUGAGUGCAGAAGAGGAGAGUGGAAUUCCACGUGUAGCGGUGAAAUGCGUAGAGAUGUGGAGGAACACCAGUGGCGAAGGCGACUCUCUGGUCUGUAACUGACGCUGAGGAGCGAAAGCGGGGGGAGCGAACAGGAUUAGAUACCCCAGUAGUCCCUGUCUCUUAUAC
rnacentral:rRNA from 1 species